rnacentral:rRNA from 1 species
CCUGACCUUGAUUCGAGCGUGAUUACCCGCUGAACUUAAGCAUAUCACUAAA